UCUUGUCUCUUGGGCGAAGCGCAGGUUGUGUCGCCGUUCUGGAGCAGCAGAUAAGUGGAAUUGUGUGCAACAGCGGAUAAAACGACGACACAGUGACUAUGACUCUUAUCCCCAUAUGCUAAAUGAGAUUUGCUCGAUGGGUAUCACGCGUGAGGAUUGUUUGAUGGGGUGCCCCUAUCUUUGUAAUAAUGUGAAAGUGUCAUCCUAGUUCAAUAGCAAAACAAGGUACACAGAUCGGAUGAAAAUAUUUACUAGUUAAUUGUACACCAAAGUUCUAAUGAUAAAAGGUAAUACUGAGCCUUCUUUUUUGGAUGUCUUACUAUUUAGCUCAACUGUCUUAUAAAUUAAGAACUGGGGCAAAGGUCGAGCUGCUGACACGCCCUUAAGAUUAUUUGAAACUUUCCGUCAAAGUGUCCAUAUCUGAAUAAUUAAAUGAUUAUCAAAGAAAGCGAGUUCGAUCAAGCAUUAAAAAGUGAACGAGCGACAAAUUCUAUACUACGGGUAGGAAAUAUAUCGGCAGAAGACUGUACAAAGUGUAUGUUUGUACAUGUUAAAGUUUCAUAAUCGCAUCACUUCUCAUCGCUUCUUUAUUUUUAUCUAAAUGUCAUGACUUAGUAACUCAUGUGUUGCAAAUUAAACUUUCGACCCGCUGAACUUAGAUUAACUUGCACUCCUGGAAGAAGCUACAUUGUUCUAUACAAACGUAGUAAAAAUACUUUGUAAGGUAUCAUUAAGAUAUUUAGUAACAGAUUACACGAGAGGGGAUAAGUUACUUAUUAACUCAAUUACUACUCAAGUACAAAUAGUAACCGCUUGAAGUACAUGAAUCGUUAUUAUUGAUUAAUGAACAUUAGAUCAGUACAUAACUGACAUUUAGUUUCUUGGUGAUUAAUACAUUAAGAGUAUAGUAUUACAUUGUUUGUGCUCCCUCAAGUGUUACCAAAUAUUUUUAAUAGACUAUGCUUUGUGAGUUGUUUUUAUUUAAUUCCAAUUAAAUUUAUUUCUACGAAGAGCAGCAUAGUUGUCCCAGUGCUCUGCACACAAGCACACAUAUUUAAUUUGGCUUCAUUCGUCCACACAAAACCACAGCAAUAUCAAAGUCUCUUCAACUCCCCUGCCAAUGGUGUUGUCUUGCAAAUAAUAAGGUACGGUAUGACUGCUAGCUGGAAAUACACAUUUAAGUGUGCUGUCUGUCUACACGUGCUCCUGUUUUAUUGAAGCUCUCUGUGGUUAUUUCUCAUGAAUGCCAAAUUUGAUGCUGUCCUGUGCUUAUCCAGGACCAGAGAUCCCUACAAAAAUGUGCAUAGAAAAACAGUUAAUACAUGGAGGCCUAUAUGUUCUUGGAUGUAAGCAUUUAAAUUCUGCAAUACUACAUUUCAUGAUACAGUGUUCGUUUUACAUGUGUGGGUUACUAAUCCUUUCCUUGCUGUGGCGUAACCUCCUCCGUCUUCCUCGUUACUGGUUUGUGCAUAAAGUUUCCCCUACAAAGUGCUUGGAUUGAAAAUUUCUUCCGAAGCCGUCUUGGCUGGCUGAACAGAGACGGCCUCAGGUUACCGCUGCGGCUGCCGGCACGGUAUCAGGCGGUCUCUAUCCGGAAAGAGGAAAUGGAGCUUUCGACAAUGUAAUUGCAAGCUGGAACUGGAGGAGGGGGCGGGAGAGGGAACAUCCCGCAGCAAAAAGUCCGGGAAGCAUCACUUUUUCUUUGGAUUGCGUCAGAAUGGAAAUUAUUUUUUUGCUUUAGAGUGUGAGGCAUGUAAUGAGUGUAAUUCCCAGCUGAUGAAAGUGGAGGAAAAGGGAUUCCGCAUUCAGCCUCGAGUCACGUCAUGCGGCAAAAACCGGCCAAAUGUUCUAUAAAUCGCAGCUUAAAAACACAGCGCUUUUCUUAGCACGUGACUGUUUACCAGGUAUCAUGUGCAAUUCUGCGUUUAGAAACAGCGUACGCUGCCGUUCUCAUAUGUGACAUUCUCACUUUAAAAUAAAAGGCUUGUGUCUGUUAAUGUAA